CCUACGGGUGGCAGCAGUGAGGAAUAUUGGUCAAUGGGCGAGAGCCUGAACCAGCCAAGUCGCGUGAGGGAGUACUGCCCUAUGGGUUGUAAACCUCUUUUGUCGGGGAGCAAAAGCCGGACGUGUCCGGCUGUGAGAGUACCCGAAGAAAAAGCAUCGGCUAACUCCGUGCCAGCAGCCGCGGUAAUACGGAGGAUGCGAGGGUUAUCCGGAUUUAUUGGGGUUAAAGGGUUGGCAGGCGGGUUUUUAAGGCAGCGGUAAAAUCGUGGGGCUCAACCCCAUCCAGCCGUUGAAACUGGGGAUCCAGAGUGUGCGAGAGGUAUGCGGAAUGCGUGGUGUAGCGGUGAAAUGCAUAGAUAUCACGCAGAACCCCGAUGGCGAAGGCAGCAUACCGGUGCACAACUGACGCUCAGGCACGAAAGCGUGGGUAUCGAACAGGAUUAGAUACCCGGGUAGUC
rnacentral:rRNA from 1 species